rnacentral:rRNA from 1 species
GGCGAAGGGUGAGUAACACGUGGGUGAUCUGCCCUGCACUUCGGGAUAAGCCUGGGAAACUGGGUCUAAUACCGGAUAUGACCUCAUGUUGCAUGACUUGUGGUGGAAAGAUUUAUCGGUGCAGGAUGGGCCCGCGGCCUAUCACCUUGUUGGUGGGGUAAUGGCCUACCAAGGCGACAACAGGUAGCCGACCUGAGAGGGUGACCGGCCACACUGGGACUGAGACACGGCCCAGACUCCUACGGGAGGCAGCAGUGGGGAAUAUUGCACAAUGGGCGAAAGCCUGAUGCAGCGACGCCCCGUGAGGGAUGACGGCCUUCGGGUUGUAAACCUCUUUCAGCAGGGACGAAGCGCAAGUGACGGUACCUGCAGAAGAAGCACCGGCUAACUACGUGCCAGCAGCCGCGGUAAUACGUAGGGUGCAAGCGUUGUCCGGAAUUACUGGGCGUAAAGAGUUCGUAGGCGGUUUGUCGCGUCGUUUGUGAAAACCAGCAGCUCAACUGCUGGCUUGCAGGCGAUACGGGCAGACUUGAGUACUGCAGGGGAGACUGGAAUUCCUGGUGUAGCGGUGAAAUGCGCAGAUAUCAGGAGGAACACCGGUGGCGAAGGCGGGUCUCUGGGCAGUAACUGACGCUGAGGAACGAAAGCGUGGGUAGCGAACAGGAUUAUAUACCCUGGUAGUCCACGCCGUAAACGGUGGGCGCUAGGUGUGGGUUCCUUCCACGGAAUCCGUGCCGUAGCUAACGCAUUAAGCGCCCCGCCCUGGGGGAGUACGGCCGCAAGGCUAAAACUCAAAGGAAUGUGACUGGGGGCCCGCACAAGCGGCGGAGCAUGUGGGAUUAAUUCGAUGCAACGCGGAGGACCUUACCUGGGUGUGACAUAUACCGGGAAGCUGCAGAGAUGUGGGCCCCCCCUUGUUGGUCGGUAUACAGUGUGCAUGACUGUCGUCAGCUCGUGUCGUGAGAUGUUGGG